rnacentral:rRNA from 1 species
AUGUGUUGCAAAUAUUUGAGAGAGAAUCAAUUUUAUGCUAAACUUAGCAAGUGCACGUUUGCUCAACAGAAGCUGGAGUACUUAGGGCACAUCAUCUCUGAUACUGGGGUAGCCACUGAUCCUGAAAAAACCAGAGCUAUGGUAGAGUGGCCCAGACCUGCAAAUGUCACUGAGUUGAGAGGUUUUUUGGGCUUGACAGGUUAUUACAGGAAAUUUGUCAAGGGUUAUGGGAUUAUUGUGAAACCAUUGACUCAAUUACUGAAGAAGCAAGCUUUUGCUUGGUCUGACAGUGCUCAACAGGCUUUUGAGACUCUGAAAAAGGCCAUGGCAUCAACUCCUGUACUGGGAUUACCUGAUUUUGAAAAGCCUUUCACUGUUGAAACAGAUGCGUGUGCUACUGGAGUGGGGGAUGUUCUACUCCAACAAGGUCACCCUAUCCCAUUGUUAGAGUCCGAAGCAAAAUGGAGCCUCCCCGUGCGUUUGGAUUUUCAGCCGUUGGAUUGGCCGUCCAAAUGA